rnacentral:rRNA from 1 species
AUUGAACGCUGGCGGCAGGCCUAACACAUGCAAGUCGAGCGAGCGGCGGACAGGGGAGUAAUGUAUGGGGACUGCCCGAUAGAGGGGGAUAACCACUGGAAACGGUAGCUACUACAGCAUACUAUCGGAUAACCCAUAUGGGAUUAGCUAGUAGGUGUGGUAAUGGCUCACCUAGACGACGCUCCCUAGCUGGUCUGAGAGGAUGAUCAGCCACACUGGGACGGAGACACGGCCCAGACUCCUACGGAGGCAGCAGUGGGGAAUAUUGCACAAUGGGCGCAAGCCUGAUGCAGCCAGGCCGCGUGUAUGAAGAAGGCCCUAGGGUUGUAAAGUACUUUCAGUCGGGAGGCGUUACCGACAGAAGAAGCACCGGCUAACUCCGUGCCAGCAGCCGCGGUAAUAC